rnacentral:lncRNA from 1 species
UAUGUAAGAUAGAAAAAGACAGCAUAUUAUAAAAACUACGUAAUUUUUAAGUUUGAAUUAAGUUUGGAUUAGAUUUAUUAAGUAAAGUCAUCUCCUUGGGCAGCCACAGCCCACCAUACGGAAUAUCACUAAUUAGUAUAAUUCUAUUUUAUACUUAUAAUAAAAACAAAAUCAAACAUAAGAUAAAAUAAAAUAAAAUAAAAUCAACAAUCUAAUUGCUUUGUUCGACAAACCUCUUGAGAGAAAGAGGCCUUGUACAUACAUUUUGCUCAUCAAUUAGUUUAAGUGACCCUUUUGGCCAUAAAGUAAGAUCAAACAUUUUCUUAACACAUAAUUACAACUUAAUUUACAAACUAACCAAGAGCAUGAUGAAAAACUUCAAAAUUCAAGUUUAAAAACCAAAAGCUUCCCAUUAUUUGAAAGCACAAAAACUACAUAGAAAACUUCAUUUAAGUCCAUCAUAUAUAGCAACAAUUCAUUUUGUUGAUCUAGCGUAUGUGUGUUUCCGCGGUAAAUUUUGACAUAAUCAAAACUUGCGACACCUUACUUAUUGUUUAUGCUGCAAUUCGACGAUGUGUGAGACAAUGAUGCGGAGAUUGAACACUAGAAGAAACAAUAACAUGCGUCGUCGAAGAAGUAGAAGAGGAAGAAACAUGGGUAGAAGAAGAUGAAGUUGUUUGAAUUUGAAACCGACCGGAAUCACCGGUUGGAAGUCUCAUGUAUGAAUAAGAAGGUGAUUCAGAAAUCCAUGAUCCUAUAGUAUCUUCUUUCCCACUCUUGUAUUGCAUAAUUGUCUUGUAAACCAAAGGAAUAAGACCCUCCAUUUUUUUUAUGAAUAGAGAAAAUGUGAAAGGUUUUGGAUUAGAAUAGUUUGAAUGUGAGGGAAGAAUGAGUAAUUUGUUGGGUAUAAAAACAAGUUGGUGGUGGGGUUAAGGGGUGAUGAUGUUUUGGAUUAGAGUCCAUAACUUCACGCUAUGCCAGGAGAUUUUCAAUGCAAACUCAUAUGGUCACCAUGAUAGAUAAGUUCCAACAAACAUUUAAUCUUAAAUUAGUGAAAAUUGGAGGAGUAAUGUCAUUCAAACACACAAAGUUGACAUAGUAUAGAAAAUAUAUAUCUAUUAUUAGUGUAUUUUAGAUUUCAAUAAAAGAAAAAUACUAUUAUUAAUUUUAAUUAGGUUUGGUUUGUCAAGAUAAUUAUUUUAAGGUUAUGCCAGUUUAUAUGGUAAAAGAUUACCUGUUUAAUAUUUAUUAUUUUUUAAUUUUUAAGUUAUAAGCUGCUUAA